rnacentral:rRNA from 1 species
UCUGAAUCUGCGUACGGCUCCGCAAACCAGUUGUAAACUAUAGCAAGCAGGCUCGGGGUCGGCCUUCACGGGCUGGCCUCGGGCGAUAUGGAUAACCCUGGUAAUUCUGAGGCUAAUACAUGAACGUAGAACCCGGUUGACUAGGCCUCACGGCUAGGGAUGCUGGGGGAUGUGCGAUUGCAGGCUUGGGUAACUCCGGGAAAGGGCGCACGUCCAGACCGCGCUAUAAAGGAUGGGCUUCUCACGAGGCCUGCCCCAGCGGCUCUUGCUGUGUGCUUCUGACCUAUCAACUAGACGGCAGCGUAAGGGACAUG